CCUACGGUAGGCAGCAGUCGAGAAUCAUUCACAAUGGGGGAAACCCUGAUGGUGCGACGCCGCGUGGGGGAAUGAAGGUCUUCGGAUUGUAAACCCCUGUCAUGUGGGAGCAAAUUAAAAAGAUAGUACCACAAGAGGAAGAGACGGCUAACUCUGUGCCAGCCGCCGCGGUAAUAAAGAGGUCUCAAGCGUUGUUCGGAAUCACUAGGCGUAAAGCGUGCGUAGGCUGUUUCGUAAGUCGUGUGUGAAAGGCGCGGGCUCAACCCGCGGACGGCACAUGAUACUGCGAGACUAGAGUAAUGGAGGGGGAACCGGAAUUCUCGGUGUAGCAGUGAAAUGCGUAGAUAUCGAGAGGAACACUCGUGGCGAAGGCGGGUUCCUGGACAUUAACUGACGCUGAGGCACGAAGGCCAGGGGAGCGAAAGGGAUUAGAUACCCUAGUAGUC
rnacentral:rRNA from 1 species